UACGGAGGGUGCAAGCGUUAUUCGGAAUCACUGGGCGUAAAGGACGCGUAGGCGGGUUGGCAAGUCAGAUGUGAAAUCCUACAGCUUAACUGUAGAACUGCAUUUGAAACUGCUAACCUAGAGUAUGGGAGGGGGGAUGGAAUUAGUGGUGUAGGGGUAAAAUCCGUAGAUAUCACUAGGAAUACCGAAAGCGAAGGCGAUCUCCUGGAACAUAACUGACGCUAAGGCGUGAAAGCGUGGGGAGCAAACAGGAUUAGAAACCCCGGUAGUCC
rnacentral:rRNA from 1 species